rnacentral:rRNA from 1 species
UACAGAGGUCUCAAGCGUUGUUCGGAUUCAUUGGGCGUAAAGGGUGCGUAGGCGGCGCGGUAAGUCGGGUGUGAAAUCUCGGGGCUUAACUCCGAAACUGCAUUCGAUACUGCCGUGCUUGAGGACUGGAGAGGAGACUGGAAUUUACGGUGUAGCGGUGAAAUGCGUAGAUAUCGUAAGGAAGACCAGUGGCGAAGGCGGGUCUCUGGACAGUUCCUGACGCUGAGGCACGAAAGCUAGGGGAGCAAACAGG